rnacentral:rRNA from 1 species
AACGAACGCUGGCGGCGUGCCUAACACAUGCAAGUCGUGCGAGAAAGUUCCUUCGGGAGCGAGUAAAGCGGCGCACGGGUGAGUAACACGUAGGUAACCUGCCCCCCAGUCUGGAACAACUAGAGGAAACUCUAGCUAAUGCCGGAUGAGACCACGAUCCCUUCGGGGGGUUGCGGCCAAAAGAUGGCCUCUACUUGUAAGCUAUCGCUGAGGGAUGGGCCUGCGGGCCAUUAGCUUGUUGGUGAGGUAACGGCUCACCAAGGCUGUGAUGGCUAGCUGGUCUGAGAGGAUGACCAGCCACACUGGGACUGAGACACGGCCCAGACUCCUACGGGAGGCAGCAGUGGGGAAUAUUGCGCAAUGGGCGAAAGCCGUGACGCAGCGACGCCGCCGU